rnacentral:rRNA from 1 species
AUUGAACGCUGGCGGCAUGCCUUACACAUGCAAGUCGAACGGCAGCACGGGAGCAAUCCUGGUGGCGAGUGGCGAACGGGUGAGUAAUAUAUCGGAACGUGCCCAGUCGUGGGGGAUAACGCAGCGGAAGCUGUGCUAAUACCGCAUACGAUCUAAGGAUGAAAGCGGGGGAUCGCAAGACCUCGCGCGAUUGGAGCGGCCGAUAUCAGAUUAGCUAGUUGGUGGGGUAAAGGCCCACCAAGGCGACGAUCUGUAGCUGGUCUGAGAGGACGACCAGCCACACUGGAACUGAGACACGGUCCAGACUCCUACGGGAGGCAGCAGUGGGGAAUUUUGGACAAUGGGCGCAAGCCUGAUCCAGCAAUGCCGCGUGCAGGAUGAAGGCCUUCGGGUUGUAAACUGCUUUUGUACGGAACGAAACGGCCCUUUCUAAUACAGGGGGCUAAUGACGGAACCGUAAGAAUAAGCACCGGCUAACUACGAGCCAGCCGCCGCGGUAACAC